AUCAUAACAAGGUUUCCAAAGUAUUUCUCAUCAUUUGUAAGAUUGCUAUUUACCAAGGUCAAGUCUUUUCUAAGCUUGUCUUAAUACUCAUUUGUCCAUAGUUUUACCCCUUGUGUAAUAUUUACAGCAUUAAAUAUAACACCUUGGAUCCAUAGGCUGCGAUUACCAACGCCUGUGAACCAGGCUACACCCAAAGCUUCAUCUUUUUCACCUUUGGUCCACUUAACAUAGGCUAUGUAGGGCCUCCGGAUUAUCUAAUCUGCUGGUUUUCUGAACAGGUCUAGCUAGCUUCUUGGGUACUUUAUACUGUGUCACAAACAUGUAUGCCAUACAGAAAUGAUAUCUAAACCUACCUUGAAAAUAUGCCUAUUCCCAUUUUGAUCCAAUCUUCCAUUUUCUUGUCUGGAUGAUCUCAAAAUAAUCAGCAUGCAACCUUGGGUUUAUGAGCUGGGCAUUUGUAUAUCCUUGGCAAUGAUGGAAAGAAAGAUUGUCCAGAAUUAACAGCAGGCAUGGUGUGAAUCUUUAAUCCCAAGGACUCUUCUUUGAUAGCUCCCAAAAUUUUGGUUCUAAUGGUUCCCAGGUUUUAAAGCCUAAGCUCCUCCCCACUAAUUAGGGCCAGUCUCAUAGAAUCACAAUCUGUUUAACCUGCUGGGCAUAAUUUUGAUUGUGGAUAAUGGGAAGAAUAUGCAUGCAUUUGUUAUGAAGAUUAUUCAUGACAACUCAUCAUUAGAAUACUUCUGGUGAUGAGCAUCAGGACUCAGAAUUACUGUGUUGUUAAGCACAAAUGGGCAAAGUGUCAGUUGCCAAAGAACAACUUUCACAUAGCAAGUGGCUAAAUCCAUUCUGUCCUGCUGAUGGCCACUGUCCUGUGAUCUUUGGGUGAAGGGUGAUAUUUAAAUUUUGAUGAUGUUGAUGUUGUUGUUGUUGUUGAUAAUAAUAAUAAUAAUAAUAAUAAUAGUUUUUCUUCUCCUAUUCCCCUCCUAAACCUACCAUUUCCAUAGCAGUAUAACAGCCAGUCCCUCCUCCCAUGGAAGUCGGGGAACUUCAGCUCUGUCAGGCAAAUAAGGGUCUCCUAACAACACUCAACACCUUUAGCAAACUACAUUUCCCAGGAUUCUUUGAGGGAAGCCAUUACGGCUUUAAUUGUAUAGUGCUGAUGGCGCCUUUGUUUCAGUGUCACUAAUGAUUUAGAUAACAAAGUUCCUUAUCUCAAAUUGGGAACUAGUGCUGAUACAGUAGUGUCCACCAUCAUGACUUUGCUGGUCUAGUGUCUUGGACUGACUCAUGAUGAUGUCAGCACAUUACCACAAACUGUGACACCACAGUGACACAACUGCCCUUAGAUCUGACCCUAAACAAUUAUUUGCCAGGUAGCAACACAUAAAGAAUGACUGUCAAUUACUGGUGUGACUGCUUAGUUCUUUCCCACUUGUGUAGAUAGCACAGAAUAGCUGAGACUAUUGUAGUGGUUUUGGAAAUAGUAUAGGAAAGAAAUGCACUGUGAGAAGGAGUUUAAAAGCAGAGGGGAAAUUGGUUUGGAAACAUGAAGGCAAGAGAGUAGGAACAAAGGGAACCAACAGCAGGUAGUCUCGUACAAGUUGUUCAUCAUCAGCAGUGCUAUAUGCAAAGUAGAAAGAAUAGCUACCUUUAUUAGAGACAUACGUGCAACUGUUGUCUUUGAGAAAGGGAGACAUUUGCCAUUUUGCUCCUGUGACUAGGCAUGGAUGAUUCAGGGUGGUGGUUAGACCAGGGCUUUUUUCCAGCCAGAACAUACCAGUAGUCAGUUCUGGCACCUCUCAGGUGGGCGCCGUUGCCAUUAUAAGAGAACAAGGGAGGCAUUCAUGGUGAGUUCGGACACUUCUUUUUCUAGAAAAAUAGCACUGGGUAAGACCCCUUGAAUAAUAAAAUAAAUGGAAAAAGAAGACAGGCAGGACAAUCCUACAGAUGGCUGCUGUUAUCCCCAAUCAUCAGUGUAGGGGUUGCCAACCAUUUGGGGCAUGUGAGCACAUGUUGAAUUCUGUGCAAAUGCUGUGGAUAUACAUCCUUGGCCACUUCUAUCCACAUUCUCCUAGAACAAGUCUCACCGCUUCGCACCCCACAUUUUCUGCCAUAGCUAUAUUUUUGGGUUCGGACAGAAAUAUUUGCAGAGUGUCUCUGAGUCCAAAUAGAAGUAUAAAAUGUGUGUUGAAAGAGCAUGUGGCUUUGAGAUUUGGGGUGGAAUUUGUUUUUAAAAAUAGCUUCAUUCAUUUUUACACUUAUAUCCCCUCUUUCCUCCAAGGAGGUCAAGGUGGCACACACAUUUCUCCUCCUCUCCUUUUUGUUCUUACAAUAAUCCUGUGAGGUACAUCAUCAUAAUAAUCAAACCUUUUAUUGGCAUCACAUACAAACAUCAAAAACAAAUCAGUACAGAAUUACCACUUCCCCAGUGGCACAAAAUAUUUAGGAGGCAGAGCAGUCUAUCAUCACAUCGCUAGGUCUCCAGGGAGAUCAGAUGUCUGCAGUAUAUUUCGACGACAGAAAACCAAAUAGAGAUAUUUAGCCACUAACUUGGUGAGCUCCUGAUCAUUCCCCAGUAAUAGAAAAUGUAUGACCUCCAACUCUGGUUUCCAUUUGGGGAUACAGAGUUGAUCUAGAAACUGCUGACAGAGAUCAGCAUAUAGUUUACAAUUAAGAACCAUAUGUGUAAGGGUUUCCACCAGGUGGUCUUCACAUGGGCAAGUUCUUUCUCCUUCCACCCUGCCUGAGAACCUUCCCCAAAGGAGGUUUGAUGGAUUUGAAUUAAACCUGGCCAGCGAAAAUGCCCUUCUUUCUUGAGGGUUAAGCAGAAAUUCAAGGUAAUUGUGGUUAGUUGCAUGUGCCCAAGAAAGUUGAAAAUAAAGAGGGGAACAUGUUUUCACUGAAGAGAAACCUGUGAGGUACAUAGGUUAAGCUAAGAGACUUAAAGUCAACCAGUGAGCUUUAUGUCUGAGUGGAGAUUUGAAUCCUGGUCUCCAGGUCAACACUCUUAACCACUACAGCACACUACUUGACAUUCUCUUUGGAUGGGCUGUGUCCUACUAGCCCAAGUGGACCCUCCUCCACUGGUGACAUCAUUUAAUCUAUCUCAUGAUCUCAGCUAAACACAGCACAAACGUAUUGCUAAGACAAGCUUAUAGCACCUCCUGCAUUACAGCUAAUGCCAUAGCCCAGAGGCCAGGAGAGCCUACUGCUACAGCUAGCAGAGCAUAUGUAGAUAAGGGUUUUAAUGCACUGGCAGCCCAAAUAGCAGUAGCCUAUAAACUGCUACCCUUUCAUUUUGGAAAAUUCCCAGGGCUAUGUAGAGAAGAAAGACUACCAUUCCAGUUACAGUAGUCAGCAGGUUCAAUUGACAAUGGCUGGGAGGAACGGUACGUGUGGCAGAUCUCUCAGGAAAAUAAUUCAAGGCAGCCUUUGCUGCAUGGACAAUGGUGCCAAAGAGAUACUGACCUGGAUUUAGUUGGACUUACGAAUUAGAAGUCCCAUUCAUUUCAAUGGGAACUAACUUAGAAUGAUAUAAUCAAGGGGUUGGAAGGGACCCCAAGGGUCAUCUAGUCCAACCCCCUGCAAUGCAGGAAUCUCAUCAAACUCCUGCUUAAAAACCUCCAAUGAAGGAGAGUCCACAACCUCCGAAGGGAAUCUGUUCCACUGUUCAAACUUGCUCCAUUCAUUUCAAUGACACCUAAAUUCAAUUAACUUAAUAUUCAUCUAACUCAAUGCUAAUAGCACUUCACCCAACAUGCCUAUAUUGAUGUCUGUGUGAGAAGAACAAGUUGCUUGUUUGUUUGUUUUGCAAGGGAACCAUCUGAGAAAUCAACAAUGAACACUGCAACAAGAAGCUCAUAGGAACUAACACCCACAUGGCCCAAGCAGUGUUAGUUCCAGCCAUCCUGGAAUAGUUUUAAUCUCUAUUCAACAGAGAUGUGACCAACACCCACUAUGUAAGAUGCUGACCCACUGGUAGGUGGAUGAGAAAGAUCAUUAGCUUUCCACCCAUCUACAGAUGGAUAGUAUUUUUGGCAUGUGUUUGUUUACUGAGGACAUGUGGCAUGAGAUUACUUUGAGACAACCCAGAGCCAUUGUUGUCUGCAUGAAUACAAAGUUACUGUAAUUUUAAACUCCACUAUUCACAUUGUAUUUGCUGUAUAAAUACCGCUGUUCCUGCAUUAAUUUGCACCUAGAUAAACAUAGAUGCUGGUUCUUGAGAAUGUACCUUCCUUUGGCUCUCCUAUUUAAUGACACACGUUUAACAAAACAAGAAUUGUAAUGCUGAUACAAUCUCUUUCACGCCUUUGUAUUGGUCUAAAUGCAAUGGAAAGCAGGGCAUUUAUAAAGAAACACUUUUUGAAAAAUGAUCCAUUUGAAUCUGCUCGGAUACCUGCUGUGGAAAUAGCCUGUUUAUAUAAAUGGUGUUAUACAUCAGUAUAGAUAGCUCUCUGUCAGGGAAUAGUAAAAAUAGAUUGGCUGCAAAGUCAUCUGUGACUCAGAAAUUAGAUGGAAUAGUGGACUCUGCAAGAGCUAACUGUGCGGCAUCUGCUAGAAAGUAUUAUGUGCACGCACACUCUGCUGAACCUGUCCUGAAAGAUGUAUCAAACAUUGCACAAUUUCUUAAAAGAAUUCAUUCAUCAAGUGAAAAUGAACUAAAGUAGAUUGCCUACGGCUUUUCUUUUUAUGCAUAGUGAUUUUUAUAAAAGUAGUUUUUUGGAGAAAUAGCUUGCUGAACCUUGAUGAGAUUCUCAACCAACAUUUUAGACAUUAUCCUUAUGUAGAUAUAAGAAAACACCACAUUGACUAAGGGCUGGUUUGCACAAUAUAAAUACCACGAGGGCUGCUUUAAAUCGCUCCAUAGCUGUUACUACUUGAUGAGUUUGUCUCCUCAUGUGAUCAGGCAGCUUUUGACAAGCCCUGGCAAGUAGCCAUCAAGAAGAGUUUGUAGUGGUAUGGUAAACAUCACCUAAUCUGUUAUCAGCCCUAGAUCCUCUCCACUAUGUUGAAGAGGGCAUCAGGUUAUUGGAACAUAUCUUCACAUGUGGUGGGGACAGAAAUGGUUUUUUUUUCUGGGAGAUGAUUUAUAAUGAAUUAAAAAAGGUAUUUAAAUAUACCUUCUUGAAGAAACCAGAGGCCUUUCUCCUGGGCAUAGUCGGCCAAUCGGUGUUAAAGAAGGAUAGAACUUUCUUUAUGUAUGCUACAACAGCAGCAAGAAUACUUAUUGCAAAGUAUUGGAAGACACAAGACCUACCCACUCUGGAAGAAUGGCAGAUGAAAAUGAUGGAUUACAUGGAAUUGGCAGAAAUGACUGGCAGAAUCCGAGACCAGGGAAAAGUCGGUG